UUCGGUUUCGUUCCGGAGUUGUGAGGAUUCGUUUGACUACGUCUGUUUGUCUUCUUCAUGGACUCGUUCUGCUUCCUAGCGGAAUCUCAGGCAAGAUGACCAUUACCCUUGAUAUCACUUCUAUCUUUGCUUGCUAGUUGCUUCAUUCUAUCGCUAUGCUGCGCUACCUAUCACUUGUUUACCAUGCCUCCCAUAUUGCCAUGUCAGCCUCUAACCUUUUCACCCUUCCUAACAAACCGUUGCUUGGCCAUGUUACCGCUUUGCUCAGCCCCUCUUAUAGCAUUGUUAGUUGCAGGUGAAGUUGAAGAUUGCUCCAUGAUGGACAGGAUUAUUUUGGGAUAUCACAAUAUCUCUUAUAUUAUUAAUGCAUCUAUAUAUUUGGUAAAGGGUGGAAGACUCGGCCUUAUGCCUGGUGUUUUGUUCCACUCUUGCCGCCCUAGUUUCUGUCAUACCGGUGUUAUGUUCCCGGAUUUUGCGUUCCUUUCGCGGUUUGGUGAUUUAUGGGACCCCCUUGACAGUUCGCUUUGAAUAAAACUCCUCCAGCAAGGCCCAACCUUGGUUUUACCAUUUGCCUGCCUAAGCCUUUUUCCCUUGGGUUCUGCAGACUCAAGGGUCAUCUUUAUUUUGCCCGCCCCCCGGGCCAGUGCUCGUCGUGAGUGUUGGUCCAACCUGUCAACCGUCGGUGGCCACCAGGGGAAACUCUGGGCUGGCCUACCGGAAGUUUGGACAAUCCGGUGUGCCUUGAGAACGAGAUAUGUGCAGCUCCUAUCGGGAUUUGUCGGCACAGCGGGAGGCUUUGCUGGUCUUGUUUUACCAUUGUCGAAAUGUCUUGUAAACCGGGAUUCCGAGUCUGAUCGGGUCUUCCUGGGAGAAGGUAUAUCCUUCGUUGAUCGCGAGAGCUUAUCAUGGGCUCAGUUGGGACACCCCUGCAGGGUAUAAACUUUCGAAAGUCGUGCCUGCGGUUAUAAGCAGAUGGGAAUUUGUUAAUGUCCGGUUGUAGAUAACUUGACGCUUGACUUAAUUAAAACGCAUCAACCGAGUGUGUAGCCGUGAUGGUCUCUUUUCGGCAGAGUCCGGGAAGUGAACACGGUUCUGGGUUAUGUUUGACGUAAGUAGGAGUUCAGGAUCACUUCUUGAUCAUUGCUAGUUCAUGACCGUUCCGUUUGCUCUCUUCUCGCUCUUAUUUGCGUAUGUUAGCCACCAUAUUUGCUUAGUGCUUGCUGCAACUCCACCUCAUUACCACUUCCUACCCUUAAGCUUAAAUAGUCUUGAUCUCGCGGGUUUUGAGAUUGCUGAGUCCUCGUGUCUCACCAGAUACUAUCACAACAGUUGCAGGUGCCGAUGAUACCAGUGCAGAUGAUGCAACCGAGCUCAGAUGGGAGCUCAACGAAGAUCUUAGUUGUUGCUAUGUUUCAUUUCAUGUUGAUCAGUAGUGGAGCCCAGUUGGGACGAUCGGGGAUCUAGCAGUUGGGUUAUCUUCUUUUCUUUUGGCUUCGUCCGUAGUCGGACUAUGUGUGUACUCUGAAUGAUGUAUGAUUUAUUAUAUGUUCAUUUUGUGAAGUGGCGAUUGUAAGCCAACUCUUUAUCCCAUUCUUGUUUAU
rnacentral:lncRNA from 1 species